rnacentral:rRNA from 1 species
UACGUAGGUGGCAAGCGUUGUCCGGAUUUACUGGGCGUAAAGCGUAUGCAGGCGGAUACUUAAGUAGGAAGUGAAAGGUGGGAGCUCAACUCCCACAUUGCUCCCUAUACUGGGUGUCUUGAGUGGCGGAGAGGGAGAUGGAACGACACGUGUAGCGGUGAAAUGCGUUGAUAUGUGUCGGAACACCAAUGGCGAAAGCAAUCUCCCGGACGCAAACUGACGCUGAGAUACGAAAGCCAAGGUAGCAAACAGG